GAUCCUAGGGUUUCUGUGAAGUUCAAUUGGUAGUUAUCUAGAAUUGACUGGCCAACCAGUUUUGAUCAUUCUCCAUAGUUUUAACUCAGCAGGGUUCAAGUCCUUAUCAAUAGCUUGACCAUUUGGUGUAUGCUAUACGGACUAGUGUACUAACAUAUAGAGCUUAUGUCUCAGAUCAUGAGUGGAUGUGCUAAUAAGGGUAUUAAGGGUUAGCAGUUUGGUUUGGUCCAUAUGGAAUCUGGUCCCAAGUCCUAUACAACUGAUACAAUUAUCUGGAUCUGAAUAUGACAUGAUCCUAAGAUGUUUAGCUGGGUUUCCAUGGAUGGUUUAUUUUGGAUCUGAAAGCCAGGCACAAGUCUGAAUAAGAAAGCUACAGUUUUCUAGAUUUGAAACCGGAUAAGCCACAAGUUCUACCGUCUUCCGAUCUUAAAUUUCGAUUACGAAGUACUGCAGCCACUAUUGGAUAACCAGUUACUUCAGAUUCAACUAAGGGUGCGUUUGGUUCGCAUUAUAAAAGAUUACUAGGAAUAAAAGAUAUCCGAGAAUCUUAUUCCUAUUCAUCCUAUUACUAAGAAUGUGGAAUUCCUGUGUUUGGUUCGCACGGUAAUAUUAAUUAGCCAUGUUAUUUAAUAUUACAAAAAAUAUACAAUUAAUUAAUUUAUUUAUUUAAUUAAUUUUAGAUAAUGUUACCAAAAGUUUCAACAUCUUUUUAGAAAAAAGGGAGAGAGAGUAUAAGUUAGAGAGAGAGAGCAUAAUUAAAAAAAUAGAAAGAAAAAUAUAGUCGAAAUUAGAGGGAGUGAGAGAGUUGAAAUUUUAGAAAGAGAGAGAGAGAAAGCUUAGUUUAGAGAGAGAAAAAAAGUUGAAUUUUAGAGAGAAAAAUAAGUUUAGAGAGAGAUAUAAGGUUAGAAUAUAAAAAAAAAUAAUAUCAAUUAGCCGGCGGGUAGGAAGAAAGAAAGAGAUUAGACAUAUUAUGAUUACCCCAAUCCAUUAAUAUGAGGAUACCCACCCUCCCUCAAGGGAAUGAGAUUAGCACUUUGGGGUGAAUCUUAUUCCCAAGUGAAUCCAAUAUUACCAACUAGAUUACUUAGCGCGUUUAGCCAAACACCGUCAUAUUUUUUUAUUCCCAUUGAAUUACUAGGAAUCUUUAAAAGAUAGCGCGAACCAAACGCACCCUAAAGGUUAUGUUCUGUGCAUAGUUCUUUAAGCUAUGUAAAAUGAGACAGGACUAGCAAAAGAUUACAUUUUCAGCUAUAAAUAUUACAUGAGAUUACACACAA
rnacentral:lncRNA from 1 species